GAUGAAGAACGCAGCGAAAUGCGAUACGUAGUGUGAAUUGCACAAUCCAGUGAAUCAUCGAAUCUUUGAACGCACAUUGCACCUCUCGGUAUUCCGGGAGGUAUGCCUGUUCGAGCGUCAUUUGUACCCUCAAGCUCUGCUUGGUGUUGGGUGUUUGUUCCGCCUCUGUGUGUGAACUCGCCUCAAAACAAUUGGCAGCCGGCGUACUUGUUUCGGAGCGCAGCACAUUUUGCGAUCCAGAUCAACGUACAGCGGCAUCCAAGAAGCCUUAUUUAACGCUCUUGACCUCGGAUCAGGUAGGGAUACCCGCUGAACUUAAGCAUAUCAAUAAGCGGAGGA
rnacentral:misc_RNA from 1 species